CUCUCCCCUGCUCCUCUCCAUCUCUCUGUCUCUAAAUUAAUUCAACGUUUGGCCUCCUCGCUUUAGGUUCCUUCAUUUCUCAAUGACAAUGCCCUCUCUAUAUUCCUCCUUAACCGCUCUCUCCUCGGCCUCUCUUUCCCAUCUCUCUCUAAAUUAUUUCGACGAUCGAUCUCCUCACUUCAAUUUCUUUCGUUUUCAACCGUUGACAAUGUAUACGUCCUUCCUUCAGAAGAUUCGUCCGAUACUAUAAUUGGUAAUAACUGCUAGGGCUUUCUGAUCCCCAUCCCCAUCCCCAAAGACUAAAAUUUAGGUUAUUUUGUGAUUCUAUAAAUACAUACUGCUUCAACUUUGAUGGAGCAAAGAAGGUGUUUAUUUCCAAUUGGGUCAGAGAUUGAUAGGAGUAGAAAGCUAUCAAGCUUGGGAAUAAUCUAAACAGACGCUUUGCAUUUUAGGGAGAGUCAAUUUUGAUGCUCCCUUUUGCUAUUCUAGGCUUAGUCACGAAGCCUUUGGAGCUAAAAGGUUUUGGUUCGUGCAAAUUUCCGAAAGAAAAAGGAUAUGGGGAAAUGACUAUUCCUGUGGUUGAAGGUUGAAGUGAAUGGAACAAGUUUUUUGUGGACAAAGAUGAAAAAGUUGUGGAAAGAUAUGCACCGACAACCUCACCUUUGAAAAUGGAGGUACAACUUUGACCUACAUAAUGUUGCUUCACUUUUAUUUGUACUUAUUAUUGCAACUAUACUUUAUCUUCCAAAAAACAAUACAUAGCUUUUUGGGGUUCGCAGGAACUUAAGUGCCUUCUUUGAGAGACUAUAUUGCUCGUGAUGCGAGUAUGUGAUCUUAUGUACGCAUAAAUGGAUGCUUGUUCUAGAAAACUUGUAUAUUGCUAGAAAUUCAUUAGCUUCUUAUUGUAUGUGAGAAAUAUUAUUUAUUUUUAAUUAUUGGCUUUCAACAAUAAAUCUAUGUUUGCAAGCUA